rnacentral:rRNA from 1 species
UUUAACGGCCGCGGUAUUUUAACCGUGCAAAGGUAGCGCAAUCACUUGUCUUUUAAAUGAAGACCUGUAUGAAUGGCAUAACGAGGGCUCUACUGUCUCCCCUUUCAAGUCAGUGAAAUUGAUCUGCCCGUGCAGAAGCGGACAUAAAAAUAUAAGACGAGAAGACCCUUUGGAGCUUAAGAUAUAAGCCAACUAUGUUAAUAGGCUCACCAACUCAGCCCUAAACUCAAUAGUCAUGGCCCACGUCUUCGGUUGGGGCGACAAUGGAGGAAAACAAAGCCUCCACGCGGCACGGGACUCCCCCCCAAAAAUCAAGAGCAACCCCUCUAAAUCUCAGAACCUCUGGCCAAAUAGAUCCGGCUCCACGCCGAUCAACGGACCAAGUUACCCUAGGGAUAACAGCGCAAUCCCCUUUCAGAGUUCCUAUCGACAAGGGGGUUUACGACCUCGAUGUUGGAUCAGGACAUCCUAAUGGUGCAGCCGCUAUUAAGGGUUCGUUUGUUCAACGAUUAAAGUCCUAC